GGCUGCCAGAGUCUGAAAAUCCCAUCACUUUUGUGAGGGGGUUCAAAGCUGAAACCGUCACAGAACAGAGUGGGACCCGAGACACCUCAGAAGUACGGCCAGAUGUUUGAGGAGCUGGCUGACGUGAAAGGCAGCUGGUGUGCCUGGUCACAGGGACCUGAGGAACUCGCUGUGGUCACCUUUCUGUUAAGAUACAUUCGCCAACACCAUGGUUUCUGCUCAGUUUCCCCUCAAUAGCUUCCCUCUGCGUAAGGAGCAGUGAUAACACAGUCUUUUCCUCCAGGGUUGGCGAGUAAGGCACACUUUAUGCACCGAACCGAAGAUGCGUUACGAGACUGCAGCCGUUUUUGUCCUCUGACAACAGGCCGGUUUCACCUCCAGGUUAGAGAUUCCAAACUUAGCUCC